AGUGAACUGGCUUCAUGGUGUGGAACCAUAUUUUUAACCACCUUAUGGUCCUUGUGACACCUAUUGGGGGCUUGUGGAUGUCAGGGUGCUUAGGGCUUGGUCCCUGAAAUGUGACCCCACAGGCUCAGGACGUCCAGGCUCAACCACAUUCCAGUGACCCAACUCUCAUCAAGGUGCUCAGCUCAGGGUCAGAUGGGUAGGAAGAAGGUAAGAUGGUGACCAUGGGCAGGGUGAACUGGUAUCAGAUGGAUCGGGAUUAUCCAAGGGAUCCAGAACAGGACCAUGAAGCAAAGCCCAAGGGGCAGCCUUGCUUGGGCCAUUCUUUGCAGGGGACAGUGAGUCCUGGGGCUUCCCUUUCAUCUUAACGUGUGGUCGGACAGGAGAGGUGGACCUCUGUAAGUUGCUUGUUUGUCAUGUCCAGAGCCGGCAAGGGGAGACUCCUGCCCGCUAUGAGCAGAAGGCAGACCUCUCUGCCCCAGUGACUGCCUGCCUGCCCACAGAUCUUCCACGGGCAGGGGGACGAAGACUGAGGAGACUGAGUCACACAGUUCAGAACCCCUUUAUCUCUUGGCCAUAACCAUGGCAACUAUGGGCAUCACCCCGCAGCCCUUCCCAUCCUGCACCCCAUUUCAGGGUCCCAUCAUUGGCAGACACAUAUGAGUCUAGGUGGCCCAGCCUCUGUGGCUGGUGACCAGUAAAUGACGUCGACCAGGUGGCAGACCAGAAACAGUGAAGCCUCACCUAACCCCCUUCCUGGCUGCAGAAGGGAGAGAAGCCCAGAGACUUUAGACAAGCCCAGCGGCCCAUGAUGGCUCGUGUCUGGGUCUGCAAGGGAGAGGCAAGGAGCCCCCAUCUUCCUGGACCUAUGAGGAGGGGCAGCAGGAGCAGAUGGCACACAGCAGCCACCCAGGCUGCGGCACCUGCUGUCCCCCAGCUGUGGCCUCUGGCCCCCCCUGCUGCCGGCGCUCGGCCCCUCCCCUCCCUGAGCUGUCCAAAGGCUGAUGGCUGGGCACACGUGUGGCCGCAGCUGUGGGGACCUAUCAACACCAUGCCUGGCUGCGGGGCUGAUGGCCAGUGUCCGGUGAGAACAACCAAAGAAGGCAACCGUGGCCGGCUGCUUCGGCAUGGAGCAGCCCGUCCUCAGCAGCCCUUCACCUGUCCAGUCUGCCCUUGGGCCCUCAGGCAGAUAGGGCUGCUUCGGAUGGUCCCGCCAGGGCCAAAUGUCUCAAGUGCCAGACCGGCUCUGGUCACAGGCCCAGGACACUAAGGGACACUCUGUGUCUCUGAAGCCUUUCACAGAGGAGAAGUGUCUUCACCUGAGCUUCAAGUACCAAACGAAGUAGAGCCAAUUGAAUGAAGUCAGCACAGGCAGCUGGGCUAGGCACUAGCUGCUACCUCUCAGCAUACUUGUUCAGUGCUGGACCACUGGUAGACAGACGCCCUGGUGCCACGGGCCACGGUACCAUGUUGCAGUGGCCACCACUUGCAUGACCAUGAUAUCCAAGGCACCCUGCUGGUGCCUAGUGACCCGCAGACAAUUUUCUUUCCUUUUUAAUAGGACCGGAAUCAUCGAGGCCAGAGGUCAUCUAUCUGCCUCAGAGCCUCAAAUGCUCAGACUCUGUUCCCAGCACUUCCUGGAUCUCAUUUGUCCUCAUAGAAACCUUAUGGUCCCGAUUCCACUCAAAGCCCAUUUCAAAGAGAGGACCAGGUACGCAGAGGUGCCAUGACCUGCCCCAAAUCACACAUGGAUACGGGGGUCUAAAGCCAGUGAGUGUGGGGACUUAGACUCACCCAGUCUCUUGCUUCCAACUGGUCUGCAGCCUCCCAGAUCUGGAGCCGCUGCUCUGCCUUUACCCUUCCCUGCCUUCCCUCCAGCAACCGAAGGGUGUCCACCUCCCAGCAUUCCCUGGGAACCUCGUUUCCCUCUCCAGCUCACCCCCUCCUGGCAGUUCCUCUGGACCGUCACCCCAUUGCAGACACCUUGCUCCCUGGCUGACCCGUCUGCAACGUUUCCUCAUGGGAUCGCAGUCUCCCAAAGGUAACGACUCCGGGUAGAGAUCACCGUGGCAGCCCCCAUGAGGAAGUCUUUCUCUGGAGUACCUUGCCAGGAGCCUCAGGAAAAGGGUCUAGUCCACAGAGUCAUCAGCAGUGCCCAGCCUGGGUCACCUCUGGGCGGUGGAGGAAUGAACUCUGCUGGGCUGGAGGCCGCGGGGAGACAGUGACAACAAAGAACAGAGAACUACAAGUCACCACAAGAGUCACUAAACGGGCUGAACGAUGGCUCAGAUGGAAGACGGCUUAAGGGAACACACUUCUUUCGCAGGGGACCCGAGUUUGAUUCCCGUCCAUGUCAAGUGGCUCAGAACAGCCCAUAACUCCAGUUCCAGGAGGCUCAGACAUCUCUGUCCUUUUUAUACCGUGAUGGGCAGGCUACACACAUGGAAGACAGGGCUUUAGAGACCUCGGAGGGAGACCUCAGGCUUCCACCCUCAACCGAGGAGGUGUCCUGUGAGCUGCUGUGGAGGGUGCAGAGGCAGCCCCAUAUGGUACCAACCUGAUGCCCACUGUGGGAAGCCCAGAAGCUCCUCAGAAUCUGGAAGGGACAGGCCUAUGGCUUUCUCUCUCCUAUCUUGCCAAGGUGAAGAAGCACGAGGAAGCAAGCAGAUGAGUGAGCUGGGCACGUGACUCCAGGGUUCACAUUUUGAUACAAGGACAGCAUCCCAGUCCAUCCCACCAAUCUCUGCUCAGCAAACAGUUCCUGCACCCUCCUGGGGUGUU